AGUGGCGGACGGGUGAGUAACGCGUGAGUAACCUGCCUUACACAAGGGGAUAGCCGUUGGAAACGACGAAUAAUACCCUACGACAUAAACUCUUCGCAUGAAGAACUUAUCAAAGAUUUAUCGGUGUAAGAUGGACUCGCGUCUGAUUAGCUAGUUGGUGAGGUAACGGCCCACCAAGGCGACGAUCAGUAGCCGGCUUGAGAGAGUGUACGGCCACAUUGGGACUGAGACACGGCCCAGACUCCUACGGGAGGCAGCAGUC
rnacentral:rRNA from 1 species